rnacentral:rRNA from 1 species
AUUGAACGCUGGCGGCAUGCCUUACACAUGCAAGUCGAACGGUAACAGGUCUUCGGAUGCUGACGAGUGGCGAACGGGUGAGUAAUACAUCGGAACGUGCCUAGUAGUGGGGGAUAACUACUCGAAAGAGUGGCUAAUACCGCAUGAGAUCUACGGAUGAAAGCAGGGGAUCGCAAGACCUUGUGCUACUAGAGCGGCCGAUGGCAGAUUAGGUAGUUGGUGGGAUAAAAGCUUACCAAGCCGACGAUCUGUAGCUGGUCUGAGAGGACGAUCAGCAACACUGGGACUGAGACAAGGCCAGGACUCCUACGGGAGGCAGCAGUGGAGAAUUUUGGACAAUGGGCGAAAGCCUGAUCCAGCAAUGCCGCGUGCAGGAUGAAGGCCUUCGGGUUGUAAACUGCUUUUGUACGGAACGAAAAGCCCCGGGUUAAUACCCUGGGGUCAUGACGGUACCGUAAGAAUAAGCACCGGCUAACUACGUGCCAGCCGCCGCCGUAA